rnacentral:rRNA from 3 species
GGUUAAGCGACUAAGCGUACACGGUGGAUGCCCUGGCAGUCAGAGGCGAUGAAGGACGUGCUAAUCUGCGAAAAGCGUCGGUAAGGUGAUAUGAACCGUUACAGCCGGCGAUGUCCGAAUGGGGAAACCCAGUGCAAUUCGUUGCACUAUCGUUAACUGAAUACAUAGGUUAACGAGGCGAACCGGGGGAACUGAAACAUCUAAGUACCCCGAGGAAAAGAAAUCAACCGAGAUUCCCCCAGUAGCGGCGAGCGAACGGGGAGCAGCCCAGAGUCUGAAUCAGCUUGUGUGUUAGUGGAACGGUCUGGAAAGUCCGACGGUACAGGGUGAUAGUCCCGUACACCAAAAUGCACAGGCUGUGAACUCGAAGAGUAGGGCGGGACACGUGGUAUCCUGUCUGAAUAUGGGGGGACCAUCCUCCAAGGCUAAAUACUCCUGACUGACCGAUAGUGAACCAGUACCGUGAGGGAAAGGCGAAAAGAACCCCGGCGAGGGGAGUGAAAAAGAACCUGAAACCGUGUACGUACAAGCAGUGGGAGCACCUUCGGGUGUGACUGCGUACCUUUUGUAUAAUGGGUCAGCGACUUAUAUUCUGUAGCAAGGUUAACCGUAUAGGGGAGCCGCAGGGAAACCGAGUCUUAACUGGGCGUUAAGUUGCAGGGUAUAGACCCGAAACCCGGUGAUCUAGCCAUGGGCAGGUUGAAGGUUGGGUAACACUAACUGGAGGACCGAACCGACUAAUGUUGAAAAAUUAGCGGAUGACUUGUGGCUGGGGGUGAAAGGCCAAUCAAACCGGGAGAUAGCUGGUUCUCCCCGAAAGCUAUUUAGGUAGCGCCUCGUGAAUUCAUCUUCGGGGGUAGAGCACUGUUUCGGCUAGGGGGUCAUCCCGACUUACCAACCCGAUGCAAACUACGAAUACCGAAGAAUGUUAUCACGGGAGACACACGGCGGGUGCUAACGUCCGUCGUGAAGAGGGAAACAACCCAGACCGCCAGCUAAGGUCCCAAAGUCAUGGUUAAGUGGGAAACGAUGUGGGAAGGCACAGACAGCCAGGAUGUUGGCUUAGAAGCAGCCAUCAUUUAAAGAAAGCGUAAUAGCUCACUGGUCGAGUCGGCCUGCGCGGAAGAUGUAACGGGGCUAAACCAUGCACCGAAGCUGCGGCAGCGACACUAUGUGUUGUUGGGUAGGGGAGCGUUCUGUAAGCCUGCGAAGGUGACCUGUGAGGGUUGCUGGAGGUAUCAGAAGUGCGAAUGCUGACAUAAGUAACGAUAAAGCGGGUGAAAAGCCCGCUCGCCGGAAGACCAAGGGUUCCUGUCCAACGUUAAUCGGGGCAGGGUGAGUCGACCCCUAAGGCGAGGCCGAAAGGCGUAGUCGAUGGGAAACAGGUUAAUAUUCCUGUACUUGGUGUUACUGCGAAGGGGGGACGGAGAAGGCUAUGUUAGCCGGGCGACGGUUGUCCCGGUUUAAGCAUGUAGGCUGGUUAUCCAGGCAAAUCCGGAUAAUCAAGGCUGAGGUGUGAUGACGAGGCACUACGGUGCUGAAGUAACAAAUGCCCUGCUUCCAGGAAAAGCCUCUAAGCAUCAGGUAACAUCAAAUCGUACCCCAAACCGACACAGGUGGUCAGGUAGAGAAUACCAAGGCGCUUGAGAGAACUCGGGUGAAGGAACUAGGCAAAAUGGUGCCGUAACUUCGGGAGAAGGCACGCUGGUGUGUAGGUGAAGUCCCUGCGGAUGGAGCUGAGACCAGUCGAAGAUACCAGCUGGCUGCAACUGUUUAUUAAAAACACAGCACUGUGCAAACACGAAAGUGGACGUAUACGGUGUGACGCCUGCCCGGUGCCGGAAGGUUAAUUGAUGGGGUUAUCCGUAAGGAGAAGCUCUUGAUCGAAGCCCCGGUAAACGGCGGCCGUAACUAUAACGGUCCUAAGGUAGCGAAAUUCCUUGUCGGGUAAGUUCCGACCUGCACGAAUGGCGUAAUGAUGGCCAGGCUGUCUCCACCCGAGACUCAGUGAAAUUGAACUCGCUGUGAAGAUGCAGUGUACCCGCGGCAAGACGGAAAGACCCCGUGAACCUUUACUAUAGCUUGACACUGAACAUUGAGCCUUGAUGUGUAGGAUAGGUGGGAGGCUUUGAAGCGUGGACGCCAGUCUGCGUGGAGCCAACCUUGAAAUACCACCCUUUAAUGUUUGAUGUUCUAACGUUGGCCCCUUACCGGGGUUGCGGACAGUGUCUGGUGGGUAGUUUGACUGGGGCGGUCUCCUCCCAAAGCGUAACGGAGGAGCACGAAGGUUAGCUAAUCCUGGUCGGACAUCAGGAGGUUAGUGCAAUGGCAUAAGCUAGCUUGACUGCGAGCGUGACGGCGCGAGCAGGUGCGAAAGCAGGUCAUAGUGAUCCGGUGGUUCUGAAUGGAAGGGCCAUCGCUCAACGGAUAAAAGGUACUCCGGGGAUAACAGGCUGAUACCGCCCAAGAGUUCAUAUCGACGGCGGUGUUUGGCACCUCGAUGUCGGCUCAUCACAUCCUGGGGCUGAAGUAGGUCCCAAGGGUAUGGCUGUUCGCCAUUUAAAGUGGUACGCGAGCUGGGUUUAGAACGUCGUGAGACAGUUCGGUCCCUAUCUGCCGUGGGCGCUGGAGAAUUGAGGGGGGCUGCUCCUAGUACGAGAGGACCGGAGUGGACGCAUCACUGGUGUUCGGGUUGUCAUGCCAAUGGCACUGCCCGGUAGCUAAAUGCGGAAGAGAUAAGUGCUGAAAGCAUCUAAGCACGAAACUUGCCCCGAGAUGAGUUCUCCCUGAGACUUUAAGUCUCCUGAAGGAACGUUGAAGACGACGACGUUGAUAGGCCGGGUGUGUAAGCGCAGCGAUGCGUUGAGCUAACCGGUACUAAUGAACCGUGAGGCUUAACCUU